rnacentral:rRNA from 1 species
GGGAUUCCGGCGGGAAGUAGGUGAACCUGCGGAAGGAUCAUUA